rnacentral:lncRNA from 1 species
GAACUGUCAUCAUAUCAACAAAAAAAACCUUGUUAAUGACAUCUUAACAUGUCAAACUUUAAAAUAUGAUCCAAAUGGAAACAAAAUAUUAGGCUUUGAUACUAAGGCUCAAUAGAUGAUUGUCCCACACUUGUACAUUGACAGAGUCCAAAAAGGCAAGGGAAAAAACACUCACAAAAGAAACAUGAAUUUUGAUCAUUAAUGCAACCAUUGGAGGCAAUGUUUUCUGCUUGGCUAAAAGAAGCUUCAUCUCACGCAUGUACAAGUCACAAACUCUUUCGAGAUCUAACUAUUGACGUUAAUUUCAAACACGAUAUUAAAUGGAACCUGUAACUGUCAAGCAAUCAAACUAAAAUCCCUUAGAUUUCAAGACGAUUAAUAAUGAGUGCCAAAGCAAGGAUUCUUCUAAACGUUCAACACCAAUCAAAUGGAAUCUGUAACUGUCGAGCAAUCAAAAUAAUCCCAUUCCAUUUCUAGAUGAAUAAAAAAGAGUGCAAGGCAAGGAUUCUUGUAAAUAUUCAACACCAAAAGCCAUUGAUAUAAAAAAGCAAAAACUUCAUGAUGAUAAUCCCAGUAAUUAAUUAAUUAUAGCCAACGGAAUAACUAACAAAUCGGCCUUAACAACUACGAUUUUUCCUAACUAACUUAGAAGGCAUGCUCCCAACAGUCCAAAAACAAUCUCGAAAUGGAGAUUGCCAUCGUUAACUCCUCAAGUUACGUAAUAAUACAAAAAGAGAAUAAUACUUGAUUCAACAUCUUUGGAGCAACCACGUCGGUUUCACAUUAUCCUAUAGAUACAUAUAAUCAUGGGGUGGCCACAUUCUUUAACAGACCCAUGAAAAAUGAUCAAGACAGACAAGAAGGUAUGGAGUUGGAGACCGAUUAGACGGCAAUGAACAGGCGAGCAGAGGCCAGGUUCGUGACAGACGAAUGUGGCACCUGCGAUGACCCAACUCAAGAAAACAAGCAAAAGCGAGAGGGAAAUAUUUUUAAAACCUAAAGAACCGUGAAAAAGAACUGCGAUAAGGAGAGACAAGAUAAGAAAGAAAGUGCCAAAGGCCAUGCUAUCAUUUACAUGAAAGAGUACAUGAUGGAGAAGAGAAGGGCAGAGAGGAUCAACACAGUAAGAGUUAAGAUAUCACGAGACCUGGACGGGUUUGUCGCGGGCUACGUGCUUGCGUUGAUCUUAUCCGAGAAACGAAAGAACCACGAGGACAUAUCUAAGAACCCACAAGAACCCUCGAAAAGAAAUGGGAGAGAGAUCGUUUACCCUCCCAUCGACGACAAGAUGAUCGCUCGGAUCCUGCGCCUUCUUCGACCCCUUGCUCGAGGGUUUCACAGUGAGAUCUUAACCAUUAGCUCACCGACGAGAACGAAGACGACGAUCGCUCGGAUUUUGCUCGACGGUUUCACGGUGAGAAUGGAUCGCUCGGAUCUUCCUCGUUCUUCGACUCCUCGCAAGAGUGUUUCAUGGGGAAGGGAAACUACCGUUGCGACAAUGAGACAGACACGUCAUAUAUAGCACCGAGAGACG